GACAGAGGUCCCAAGCGUUAGGCGGAAUCACUGGGCUUAAAGCGUGUGUAGGCGGAUUUGUAAGUACGUUGUGAAAUCCCGCGGCUCAACCGUGGAACUGCUUGGUAUACUGCUUAUCUUGGGCCAUCUAGGGGCGAGCGGAACAAACGGUGGAGCGGUGAAAUGCGUAGAUAUCGUUUGGAACGCCAAUGGUGAAAACAGCUCGCUGGGGAUGUGCCGACGCUGAGACACGAAAGCCAGGGGAGCGAACGGG
rnacentral:rRNA from 1 species